rnacentral:rRNA from 1 species
GCUCAGGACGAACGCUGGCGGCGCGCCUAACACAUGCAAGUCGAACGAGCGAGAGAGAGCUUGCUUUCUCAAGCGAGUGGCGAACGGGUGAGUAACGCGUGAGGAACCUGCCUCAAAGAGGGGGACAACAGUUGGAAACGACUGCUAAUCCCGCAUAAGCCCACGGCUCGGCAUCGAGCAGAGGGAAAAGGAGCAAUCCGCUUUGAGAUGGCCUCGCGUCCGAUUAGCUAGUUGGUGAGGUAACGGCCCACCAAGGCAACGAUCGGUAGCCGGACUGAGAGGUUGAACGGCCACAUUGGGACUGAGACACGGCCCAGACUCCUACGGGAGGCAGCAGUA